rnacentral:rRNA from 1 species
GAUGAACGCUGGCGGCGUGCCUAAUACAUGCAAGUCGAGCGAACGGACGAGAAGCUUGCUCCUCUGAUGUUAGCGGCGGACGGGUGAGUAACACGUGGAUAACCUACCUAUAAGACUGGGAUAACUUCGGGAAACCGUUGCUAAUACCGCAUAAUAUUUUGAACCGCAUGGUUCAAAAGUGAAAGACGGUCUUGCUGUCACUAAUAGAUGGAUCCGCGUUGCAUUAGCUAGUUGGUAAGGUAACGGCUUACCAAGGCAACGAUGCAUAGCCGACCUGAGAGGGUGAUCGGCCACACUGGAACUGAGACACGGUCCAGACUCCUACGGGAGGCAGCAGUAGGGAAUCUUCCGCAAUGGGCGAAAGCCUGACGGAGCAACACCGCGUGAGUGAUGAAGGUCUUCGGAUCGUAAAACUCUUUUAUUAGGGAAGAACAUAUGUGUAAUUAACUGCGCACAUCUUGACGGUACCUAAUCAGAAAGCCACGGCUAACUACGUG